CCUUCCCAGAUCUUCUUGGCUCAGUGGCUGAAGACUGACACUGCCCACUUGCCUCAGAAGCCUUCUGGACCAUCACAGAUGCUUUCGGUAACUCUUACAGUGGAGGGGGCUUCCUCAGUCUCUAGUCUCAGGCCACACAGACCAUGAGGAGUGACAAAUGGAUCUGCAUGGGAAACACCAGGGAGGGAGAAAGAAACAGUAUAUGCUCCCCUGCUGCCCUACCCUCUCCACCCACCUCAAAGAUUCUGAAACAAUUGAGUUGGAAAUAGGAAGGCCGGAGGAAAGGGAGAAAGAUGAGGUGAGGUGACAGCCAAUCAAUGGAAAAGUCAGAAGACACACACAACCUUUAUCAAUUAACUUUGCCAUCAUAUUUGGGCAGUUUGUGGUGUCCCAAAACAAGUACAAUAGUAACAUUAAGGAUCACUGAUCACAGAUCACCAUAGCACGAAAAAGUUUGAACUAUUACAAGAAUAUCAACAAUGUGACACAGAGACGUGAAGGAGCACAUGUUAUUGGGAAAAUGGUGCUAAUAGACUUGCUCCAUGCAAGGUUGCCA
rnacentral:lncRNA from 10 species